UUUCCGUAGGUGAACCUGCGGAAGGAUCAUUAAUUAUUCUCGAACGUCAAGGUGGGUGGUGGAGGUAUGGGCAACCAUACUUACUACUCGCCCCUUGACUCUUCAUGAACAUCCCUUCUGUGUAUCAAACCUUUGUUGCUUCCCGCAUGGUGUGGCCUGCAAAGGCUAUCCUGUGGGAAGGAUAUGAUAAACUCUUGUUGUUGUGUCAUUAGUCUGAGUGGUAAACACAUGAAACAAGUUAAAACUUUCAACAACGGAUCUCUUGGUUCUCGCAUCGAUGAAGAACGCAGC
rnacentral:misc_RNA from 1 species